CGGUCUGAUAGCGUUUCGAUAAACUUUGUUUAACUCCAGACGCUUCCCGUAAAGUCACUAGGGCGCCAGAAUGAAUACUUUAUUGGUCAUAAUGUUGGCUAGUGCGGCACUUCUUGCUGUCACAGGUGAUCCUCACACAGAGGUCGACCCUCCUGUAAUAGAAAUACCAAUGGACGAACCGCAUUAUUUUAAGCCCUAUCAAAUGGAGCAGCCAUACUAUCGGGAUCAGACAUACCAUAGGGAUCCAUACUAUCGGGAUCAGCCAUACUAUCGGGAUCAGCCAUACUAUCGACACGACGGGUGCGAAGACACCAAACAGGAAUUGAGGCAUCUGGCCUAUAAGCUGACUGACUUGGCUCAUGAAAUAUCUGCCUUAAGUGAUAAAAGAAACACGGAAAGGCCAUAUUACCCUGGUGAGAAACCUUAUUACCCUGGUGAGAAACCUUAUUACCCUGGUGAGAAACCUUAUUACCCUGGUGAGAAACCUUAUUACCCUGGUGAGAAACCUUACUGGCCGACCUGGUUACGAGAAAAAGUCUGGUAGAAUAAAUGCGAUAUCUUUAAAUACAUUUAAGUUAUACGACAUCCAGAUUAAAUCAAAUAUAUAUAUAUAUAUAUGAAU